rnacentral:lncRNA from 1 species
GGCAUGGAGAACAUCAUUUGAGACAUCCCUUGGUUGUGAGAUCAGAUUUCAUCCUUUCCCUCCAUCUCUUCUGAAGGUUUGGCAAAAAAAAGAUCAUCCCUCUUUCCUACGGAGCUUGGCAUGCGCACGAAGUAGAGGGCCUAUGCUUUUAGGCCUCACGAGGCAUCAGAUUCAAGCAACCCCUAGGGAUUUGAUCUCUAUUCUAUUAUGAUUAAGGUAAUUCAUAAUUAUUAUAUAUGC